GCAGACAUGCUCUGGGAUUAAAGAGGGAAAGGAGGAAAUCCCAUGGAGAGGGUAGAUGCCUUGGGCUUCUGGCCCUGAUGAAAGGGUCGUGAAGCUGGAAAAAGCCCAGGGAAAUAGCAGCAAGAUUUGGGACAGUGCAGACUUCAGCUGCUGAUUCAAAGGUCCCCUAAGAUGGAACCCAGAGUAGGGGGCGGCUCUAGGUUCCCCUACCAGCCCGUGGUGAAGUGACAUGGCCUUGAAUUGGAGGACUGCUGGGAACUAUACCUAGUCAACCACUCCAGUGAGACUUUAAUAUGCCAGAAGGGGGAAAUUAUCAUGACCUGACUAGAGGGCCGAGCCAUGAAGAGGGAGCAUCCUGAUUCAAAAAGGCACUGCAACUGCUGGAGCAUGAGAGCGUACCAUCUGUUCAGCUUCUGUGGUCCUGAAGGAACAUCAAGGGACUCCUUGGAACUCCUCUCCAAAGGCUUGCCAUUAGCCAGAGGAUUGAGGUCUCAAGCACCUGCUGUCAUUUUGAUCCGUGAAGAAGAAAUCAUACUUGUUUCUGAAUGGCAAUUCUUGGAAUCUGUGAAAAGUGGAUCCUUCAGCCAUGUGGAUUGAGGAUGCCGAAAACUGACUGCAAGUAUCAUAUGUUUGGCAGUACUCUUUACCAACUUCAGUUUCCCUUCUCCCAAUGGGGUUUUGACUCUCACUACUCUUCAGCUUCAAACUAAGUCUGCGUGCCUGGGAUUUGUUGGCUGGUGUAAUCAGCUGAAGGAGCAAUAGUGAUGGAUGACAGAUGAUUAUAAUUUCUGUGUUGUUCCAGCCAUCAUAAGUCUGAAAUGUUUUCCGAAUUGCUGCAGCUGCAACUGAUGCCAUCUCUGAGCAAUAAUCAUAACAAUUUGCAAAUAUAUAUGGAUUAGCACGUUCCUAAUGGGAAGCUUAGAAACAGGCAAGUUGUGCAGCUGCUCAUUUGCAGCUUGUAAAUGUCCAGUCUUCUGGGAAUUGUGCCUUCUUCUGUAUGCGAGGGCAGCUGCCAGAGGCCCUUUUGGAAUGGUAAAACUAUAAAUAAUACAAAUAUCUACCUGAAAAAUCAUGCUUUUACCCCCUCUCCUUCCCUAAAAUGCACAGAAAGCUGAAGGAAAAUAAAAUCUGGGUUUCAGUUUCUAUCUGUGUGCAGUGUAUGCAUGAAACUGCUGAUUGACUAUGCUAAGCCAAAGGUAAUAAUUAUGGCUUUUAUCUUUAUGUGAUUGAAAAGUUUCCAGGAAAUCUGUGCCCAAUAAAAGUGAGUUUUGACUUUCAUUGGCUUGAUACAUAGUCCGCAUCAAAGUGUAAUAACCCUAAUUUCUUUCUUUUUCGCUUAUUUAUCCCAGAUACUGCUCAUGGAAUGAUUAUAGUCUUUAAUGGGUGAAGAAAAAAAUAUGGCUUUUGUUUCUUCAUUUAUGCAUUGCACUAGCUCCUGCCCCUCUUAAAUAACCAUUCAUGUAUCGGGAAAGCAAAGUGAUGUAGCCCAGCUUCUCGGUUGUGUGUUUUUUUUUUUUAA